GGUAUAUUUACUUUCUCAAUAUACUAUAUAUUCUCUAAAUAUCAAAAUAGUAGCUUUAUGCUGUUGGUGAUGGUGGUGGUGUUGUAACAAGAUUGUGAUUCAUUUCCUUAUCUUGAUGCUUUUUGAAAAUUGAUAAAUCCUGGUUUUUAAAAUAGCUAAAUGUUGUUUUUAACAUUAAGAAACUCCCAUCCAUGAGGUGGAGAGAGUGACAUGGAGAAAAUAUGAACUAAAGGUGAUGUUUUGUGUAUAUCUGAUGGACAAAUUCUCGUCCUCUUUCUUAAUUCAGGACUAUAAACAAUUUAGCCAAGUUUUGACAUAUUGAGACGUGGUUCAUUUUUGAAACAAGCUUCAAAAUGUUACAUAGAGAAGGAGAAAAUA
rnacentral:misc_RNA from 1 species